AAAACCCCACAUUCUCUUCCAAAUCCAGUUCAGAAUUUCAUCUCCAAUUUCCUCCUCCCUCACCGAAAUCCAUGUCUCUUACACCGUUGAUGUUUAGGACACUGCUGAGGCUGCUAACAUCCUUAAUCGGAGAUCCUGCUGCCUCAGUUUCGACUUUACUCUAUUACAGUACUAACAAAUUAUCAUUCCAUAUUCUAAUCUAAGCUAAACUAUGAGGUGGAGAUUCAAACUUGGAUGCAAAUGGACGGACACUACCAUGCAAACUUUUUUUUUCUGCUUUUUUGUAAACCAUUAUUUAUUGGUGACUAACUGGCGAGCGUUCGAGUUGUAAUAUGUGAGUUCAGAUCAUAGAAUGAGAUAUGUUUCACAGUUCUUUGACCCGAUUGCAACUCCAUUUAAAUCCAAGGUUUGUUAUUCACGUGUGUAUAUAUAAGAUGUGUAAAUACCAUUUGAAGACGAUUAAUGUAUGGAAUACCAACACUUAGAAAUACUAAUAUUAUGAAUCAUUUAAUGAAGCAUGUGAUUUUGUUAAGUCGUUUAGCAUCAUUUUAAGGAAAAAAAUUUAGGUGGGACGCUCCGACCGUGUUAUAUGUAUAAUGUUUCUUAUAAAACACAUGGAAUUUUUUAUUUAGAUCUUAUUCGACCCCAAGUUUGUUUCCCUUUCAUGAGAGCUACUCUAGUAGAUUAGUUAUACCGAAGAUUCACUCCGCUUUA
rnacentral:sRNA from 1 species